CGAUGUCGUUGCUAGGCGAUGCGACGCUCUCAGACUCACACACUCGCUUCCUGGUGGCGUUUCAUCUCCGUUUUAAAUAAUCUUCUGCUUUAAAAUGAUUGUUUAUAUGUAAAUGCGUAUAUAAAGGAACAUGUCAUCAACGCUAGAAUCUCUCUUCUCAUUGGAACUGGUGAUCGAUUACGUCUGCGUCGAUGGAUCACGUGGCAAUAUUUUGGAUCUUGCAGUGGCAGUCCGCUUGUUAGAUUUCCCCACACUUCUCAUUUACCAAUCAGAACAAAAGGAUUUCUCAUCAAAAUCAGGCUAUGCUGACCUGUGCGUGUCGCCUGAGGCUUUAUCUCAACCCGACGACGGAGACAAUCUGAAGUAUUCCUUCCAUAAAGGCAAAUCCUGUCUUUUUAAGAUGAAUUUGCAGUCGUUACACACCCAUCUCCUAAACACUCCUCUCUACGCAAUGGUAUUGGAUGUAAAGGAUGAGAUUCCCAAACUUAUAGGAAGCUCCUUGAUAUCCCUGGCUAAAGUGAUGGAUAGAAUUAAACUGGAUGUGGAUAAACAUGGUAUUAGCACUCCGAGCGCUCAUGGAGAGAGACUGUUCAACCCAAUCUGCAAUCUGAUGGGAAACGACAUCGGUGCCAUUUCACUGGCUUAUAAGAUUGUAAGCCUAGGAGCGAAUUUAAUCCCUCACAUCCCAGAUAACAGAGUCCAUGAAGUCGGCCUGACCCAUGGAAAAGGAGAAGAACUCAAGUCAGUUCCAGUGUAUUCUGGAAAAAAUGAGAUGUCUGAGAACAAUCCUGGUAAUGUUCUCACACAAGAUGGAUGGUCAGCUGAUGUAGUGAUAUCAGAAGACAAGCAUCCAGCGUUCACUCAGACUGAACAGAGCGUCUCGUGGUCUGAAGAAGCACAAGAACACACCGCUUUCUGUCCUCCACCUCUGUUUUACAGCUCCGGCCUGAAGAGCCAACAGGAGAGGACAAGCUUUAAAGGGUUACAUGCAGCAAUGGAGAGUCUUAAUCUAGAGGAUCCAGAAGACGGAAAUAAUGAAGAAUCAUCUGUCAUGCAUGAGGUUUCAGAGAUAACAUCUGCAAAGGUGGAGCGAUUGAGUAAAUCAGCUUUAACUCCAGGAUCACAGCAUAAAGAAACUGAUUCAGCUCCUCUUGGGAACGUCAUCAGGCAGUUACCGCUGCUGAAUGCUUUAUUAGUCGAACUAUCACAGCUUCACGGAGAGAUGCCACACCAGCAGCCGCUAUCCAUCCAUCCUAACCUGGCGUGGCUGUACACAUCAGCACAUCCGUCAGAGCCUGAGCAUCAGAAAACUAUCAAAGCUAGUCCUAAACAGAGACCACUGAUCAAAUCAGUGAAGAGUGCAAGGGGUGCAAAGAAAAAUGAAGAAAAGUUGCAACCUAAAAGGACGCUUAAAUAUGGCUUGACAAACACUUUCCGUCUCAGACUCAAGCUGGUCAAACCGGGUCUUACCAAACGGCACGAAUGCACCGAAUACCAGAACGUAAUGACGAAAAAACGUGUCCGUAAGUCAGUUCACAGAGAUGAAACUACAUUAGUCAGCAGUUUUGAAAUGGAUCCAACACCACUUAAAACAGCAUCAAAAUCACAAACAAGACCAAGUUCAAAUGAAAGUAAUGUUGCGUCGUUCUCAGCUGAGAAAGACAAAAGAGUUCAUAUUCCAAGUGCGCUCAGUCAGCAUUCAGAUCCGAACAAUUCCGGCGUCCAGAGUUUUAAAGAAAGCAUCGGGGAAGAUAGUCGAGCGAGCAGCCGUUGCAUGAAGAGUAACGAAGAGUAUCAGGACGACUUCACGAGCCUCAACACAACCGACGGAUACUCACCUGAGCCGCUUAGCAGUCCAGAACCAAACAGGCGUAAAACAAGUGUUUCUGGUCACAAUAAAGGUCUUCCGGUUCCUGUCCCAGCGGAGAAGUCUCCUCAACGCUCUGUCAAAGGCACACAUGUCAUCCGCCCGCGUGUGCAGACCUCGGCUCUGAGUCUGUCUUCAGACGACAGCGAGGAUGAGGACGUGUCCUCUAGCGGAUCACAGACCACUUCAUCUGUCCGGAAAUCCCAGAGCUUUGAUAGCGACUCCGGGGACUCAAAGUACUCAGAUUUAUCUGUGCUGAAGUCCAGUUCAGACGCGGAGGAGGAACGGGACAGACUGGGCUCUAUGGGACUGGACCAGAAUUGCCAUCACAUUUCAGAACUGGUCUUCAACAAACUUCCAGGAUACACACUGUGAUUAGACCGUGAUGAUCUGAUGCACCGCCGGAGAAAAAGAGUGACGACUUCUUUAUAUUAGUUCAAUUCAAUAUGAUUUUACAUGCAGACAUUCAUUCAUUGGCACAGUUAUAACCUUGAAUAUAUUAGUAAAUGAUAAUAGUCAUUUAAUAUGGAUAAAAUGGGAAUGUGGAUUAUGAGUGAAUAUUUGUUUUAAAUUAGAUGCGCCAUAAUGCUUUUUAUACAAAAACGAUGCCCUGUAUAAAUGCUUUAAUAUUUAAGUAUAACAGCAAUGUUGUAGCCUAUUUGAUAAAUUAUU